CAGCAGUCGCCGCGGGAAUACGUAGGGUGCAAGCGUUAUCCGGAAUUAUUGGGCGUAAAGAGCUCGUAGGCGGUUUGUCGCGUCUGCUGUGAAAACUGGAGGCUCAACCUCCAGCCUGCAGUGGGUACGGGCAGACUAGAGUGCGGUAGGGGAGAUUGGAAUUCCUGGUGUAGCGGUGGAAUGCGCAGAUAUCAGGAGGAACACCGAUGGCGAAGGCAGAUCUCUGGGCCGUAACUGACGCUGAGGAGCGAAAGCGUGGGGAGCGAACAGGAUUAGAUACCCCAGUAGUCCCUGUCUCUUAUAC
rnacentral:rRNA from 1 species